AAUAUUUGACAAUGGGCGAAAGCCAGACACAGCCAUGCCGCGUGGAUGAUGACUGNCCNNGGGCUNUNAAGUACUUUCUACGGNNNNNAUAAUGACGGUCCCCGUAGAAGAAGCCUCGGCUAACUUCGUGCCUGCAGCCGCGGUAAUACGAAGGGGGCUAGCGGUGCUAGGAAUCACUUGGCGUAAAGCGACCGUAGUCGGCUUUUUAAGGCAGGGGUGAAAUCCUGGAGCUCAACUCCCGAACUGCCUUUGAUACUGGAGAGCUUGAGUUCGGGAGAGGUGAGUGGAACUGCGAGUGUAGAGGUGAAAAUCGUAGAUAUUCGCAAGAACACCAGUGGCGAAGGCGGCUCACUGGCCCGAUACUGACGCUGAGGUGCGAAAGCGUGGGGAGCAAACAGG
rnacentral:rRNA from 1 species